UACAGAGGUCUCGAGCGUUAGGCGGAAUCACUGGGCUUAAAGCGUGUGUAGGUGGAUCGUUAAGUACCUUGUGAAAUCCCACGGCUUAACCGUGGAACUGCUUGGUAUACUGGCGGUCUUGAGCCACUUAGGGGCUACCGGAACAAAUGGUGGAGCGGUGAAAUGCGCAGAUAUCAGGAGGAACACCAAUGGCGAAGGCAGCUCGCUGGGACGGUACUGACGCUGAGACGCGAAAGCGUGGGGAGCAAACAGG
rnacentral:rRNA from 1 species